rnacentral:lncRNA from 1 species
UUCAACUCUACACAAUUUCCAUUUCUUUGAUCCCCGUCUUUUUUCUUUUCUUUUUCUUUUCACAUCCAUACAACCAUGAGCCUUUUCUUUGUUUUUUCUUUCUUUUCUUUUUCUUUGCUCUAUGAUUUCAAGGGUGAUUUCUUUUUCUUGUUUCUUUUCAAAUUUUCACCCUUUCAAAAAAACUCACUUUUCCAAGUUUCUAAUCAACUCUUUUUACUUUACUCUCCCCAACUUUAGAUUCCAAAACCAAAUUUAUUCAAUAAUGCUCCCUACUUAGACAUAAGCAAAAGGCAAAAUUUGCAAAAUCCAAAACCAAAUUUAUUCAAUAAUGCUCCCUACUUAGACAUAAGCAAAAGGCAAAAUUUGCAAACAACUCGGUUUGAGGGUUCAAUUGACACGAAAGAAAUUAGGAUUCAUUU